AGCAUAUCAAUAAGCGGAGGAAAAGAAACCAACAGGGAUUGCCUCAGUAACGGCGAGUGAAGCGGCAACAGCUCAAAUUUGAAAUCUGGUCCCCUCUGGGGGCCCGAGUUGUAAUUUGAAGAGGAUGCUUUUGGCGAGGCGCCUUCCGAGUGCCCUGGAACGGGACGCCACAGAGGGUGAGAGCCCCGUAUGGUAGGACGCCGAGCCUCUGUAAAGCUCCUUCGACGAGUCGAGUAGUUUGGGAAUGCUGCUCAAAAUGGGAGGUAAACCCCUUCUAAAGCUAAAUAUUGGCCAGAGACCGAUAGCGCACAAGUAGAGUGAUCGAAAGAUGAAAAGCACUUUGAAAAGAGAGUUAAACAGCACGUGAAAUUGUUGAAAGGGAAGCGCUUGCGACCAGACUUGCGCCCGUCGGAUCAACCGUCCCUCGUGGGCGGCGCACUCCGGCGGGCUCAGGCCAGCAUCAGUUUUCCUGGGGGUAGAAAGGCGGUGGGAAUGUAGCUCUUCGGAGUGUUAUAGCCCGCCGCGUAAUGCCCUCGGGGGGACUGAGGACCGCGCGUAUGCAAGGAUGCUGGCGUAAUGGUCGUCAGCGACCCGUCUUGAAACACGGACCAAGGAGUCGUCCUAAUAUGCGAGUGUACGGGUGUAAAACCCCUGCGCGUAAUGAAAGUGAACGGAGGUGAGAGCUUCGGCGCAUCAUCGACCGAUCCUGAUGUUCUCGGAUGGAUUUGAGUAAGAGCAUAUUGGGCCGGACCCGAAAGAAGGUGAACUAUGCCUGUAUAGGGUGAAGCCAGAGGAAACUCUGGUGGAGGCUCGCAGCGGUUCUGACGUGCAAAUCGAUCGUCAAAUAUGGGCAUGGGGGCGAAAGACUAAUCGA
rnacentral:sRNA from 1 species